GGGCUUUUAGUGUAGCUGACCCAACACACCACACUGUCACUGUGGGAGAUUCACGGGUUUGAAUCCCGUAAGGCCCG